GCAAAGAAAAGAUGAACGGAGGGCUGAGGCGAAGGGAGGAGACAUGACAUUUACAUACUUGGGAGAGAGAGCAUAAGAUGCUCACCCUUCAGUGAUGGUGAAGUAUAUACUUAUCCUCAUAAACACGGUGACAGAUGG
ensembl:ncRNA F54G8.8 ncRNA